AAAUUGAAGAGUUUGAUCAUGGCUCAGAUUGAACGCUGGCGGCAGGCCUAACACAUGCAAGUCGAACGGUAACAGGAAGCAGCUUGCUGCUUCGCUGACGAGUGGCGGACGGGUGAGUAAUGUCUGGGAAACUGCCUGAUGGAGGGGGAUAACUACUGGAAACGGUGGCUAAUACCGCAUAACGUCGCAAGACCAAAGAGGGGGACCUUCGGGCCUCUUGCCAUCAGAUGUGCCCAGAUGGGAUUAGCUUGUUGGUGAGGUAACGGCUCACCAAGGCGACGAUCCCUAGCUGGUCUGAGAGGAUGACCAG
rnacentral:rRNA from 3 species